rnacentral:piRNA from 1 species
UAUCAGAAGUUUCCUGUGACUACCAUGACA